rnacentral:lncRNA from 1 species
AAUCAGACUGAGAUUUCCAAAGUGGGAGUUAGGGCUGCCAGUGGCGCAUGGAAGAGUCUGAGAAAAUGCUGUCCUCUUACCUUAGAUAAACAUAUCUGUGACGUGUAAUGGGAUCCAUCCUGAUAAUACGAAGGAGUAUGGGCAGUUUAUUCUAGAAAUCAAGGUCUGGGCUUCCCAAAUAGAGUGAGCAGUAUGGAAGCUUCUAGAGGACUGCUCCUUCUAUCACCAUAAAGCAGCAUAAAAAUCAAAUUGGAGAACACUUGUAUCUACAAAACGCCAAGC